CCUACGGGAGGCAGCAGUGAGGAAUAUUGGUCAAUGGGCUUACGCCUGAACCAGCCAAGUCGCGUGAGGGAAGACUGUCCUAUGGGUUGUAAACCUCUUUUGUCAGGGAGCAACGCCGGCUACGUGUAGCCGGACUGAGAGUACCUGAAGAAAAAGCAUCGGCUAACCCCGUGCCAGCAGCCGCGGUAAUACGGAGGAUGCGAGCGUUAUCCGGAUUUUUUGGGUUUAAAGGGUGCGUAGGCGGAAUGCCAAGUCAGCGGUAAAAUCGCGGGGCUCAACCUCGCUCCGCCGUUGAAACUGGCGUUCUUGAGUGGGCGAGAAGUAUGCGGAAUGCGUGGUGUAGCGGUGAAAUGCAUAGAUAUCACGCAGAACUCCGAUUGCGAAGGCAGCAUACCGGCGCCCAACUGACGCUGAAGCACGAAAGCGUGGGUAUCGAACAGGAUUAGAUACCCGAGUAGUC
rnacentral:rRNA from 1 species